AUUGAACGCUGGCGGCAUGCUUUACACAUGCAAGUCGAACGGUGAAAGCGGAGCUUGCUCCGCUGGAUCAGUGGCGAACGGGUGAGUAACACGUGGGCAACCUGCCCCUCACUUCGGGAUAACUCCGGGAAACCGGGGCUAAUACCGGAUAUGACCUCCUUGGGCAUCCUUGGAGGUGGAAAGUUUUUCGGUGAGGGAUGGGCCCGCGGCCGAUCAGCUUGUUGGUGAGGUAGUGGCUCACCAAGGCGACGACGGGUAGCCGGGCUGAGAGGGCGACCGGCCACACUGGGACUGAGACCCGGCCCAGACUCCUACGGGAGGCAGCAGUGGGGAAUAUUGCGCAAUGGGCGAAAGCCUGACGCAGCAACGCCGCGUGCGGGAUGACGGCCUUCGGGUUGUAAACCGCUUUCAGCAGGGAAGAAGCCGCAAGGUGACGGUACCUGCAGAAGAAGCACCGGCUAACUACGUGCCAGCCGCCGCGGUAACAC
rnacentral:rRNA from 1 species